rnacentral:tRNA from 2 species
UAGGAAGUAGUAUAGUUGGAAGUACGUAGAAUUUUGAUUUCUAUGGGAUAGGUUCAAGUCCUAUUUUUCUAA